UACGAAGGGGGCUAGCGUUGUUCGGAAUUACUGGGCGUAAAGCGCGCGCAGGUGGUCUUUCAAGUCGGUGGUGAAAGCCCGGAGCUCAACUCCGGAAAUGCCAUUGAAACUGUAAGACUUGAGGAUGAGAGAGGUGAGUGGAAUUCCCAGUGUAGAGGUGAAAUUCGUAGAUAUUGGGAAGAACACCGGUGGCGAAGGCGGCUCACUGGCUCAUAUCUGACGCUCAGGCGCGACAGCGUGGGGAUCAAACAGG
rnacentral:rRNA from 1 species